GGAGUGACUGUGGUACAGAUAAGUGCUGCGGCAAUGGAGUAUUCCUCUUUCAUUUCAUCAAAUCAAUCUCUCCAAAAUGUUUACAUUUUCUGUUGUUGAAGCAUUAAAUAAGCAACGCCGAGUGAAGGCUGAGAUAAAUGCUUCCAAGCAUGAUUUGCCCCAAGAUUUCAUCGACAAACAAAGAGCAUAUUUUGCAGAGGUUGAUGCAUUUGAACUGGAAGAGGAGGUCGAAUCAGGUAAUGAGUUGAAGUAGAUGAAAAAAAUGUAUAUAAAUGAAUGAUUUAGGAUAAUGCAAAUUAAGAUGAUCAAACACUGUAUAACUCUGUGUCCAUAGUUACCAAAAUAACCAUCUCACCUUAGCCAUAUCAUCACCAUGAUAGUCUUGCUUUCCACUAGUUUUGUAUUGUAUACGACAUUCCAUGGUCCUAUAUUUAGCAAAAGGGUUUUUGAUUCC